UUUCCGUAGGUGAACCUGCGGAAGGAUCAUUAUUGUAUAACCGAGGUCCGAGUGCUGUCGUUGACCGAAAGGCCGAGCAGCCCCGGGUGUCCUCCCCCCCCCCCAUUUCACCCCCAUCUCCACCACCGCGGGGGGCCCCCCUUGGCUUGGUUGGCGGGGGGCUUUCGUUUUUACUCAAAUCUUGUAUGCAGUGAAGAAUGUAUUAUUUGUUUUUGCGACCACGCAAUUAAUACAACCUUCAAUAACGGAUCCCUUGGCUCUCGCAACGACGAAGAACGC
rnacentral:misc_RNA from 1 species